rnacentral:rRNA from 1 species
UUGAAGAGUUUGAUCAUGGCUCAGAUUGAACGCUGGCGGCAGGCCUAACACAUGCAAGUCGAACGGUAACAGGAAGCAGCUUGCUGCUUUGCUGACGAGUGGCGGACGGGUGAGUAAUGUCUGGGAAACUGCCUGAUGGAGGGGGAUAACUACUGGAAACGGUGGCUAAUACCGCAUAACGUCGCAAGACCAAAGAGGGGGACCUUCGGGCCUCUUGCCAUCAGAUGUGCCCAGAUGGGAUUAGCUAGUUGGUGAGGUAACGGCUCACCAAGGCGACGAUCCCUAGCUGGUCUGAGAGGAUGACCAGCCACACUGGAACUGAGACACGGUCCAGACUCCUACGGGAGGCAGCAGUGGGGAAUAUUGCACAAUGGGCGCAAGCCUGAUGCAGCCAUGCCGCGUGUAUGAAGAAGGCCUUCGGGUUGUAAAGUACUUUCAGCGGGGAGGAAGGUGUUGUGGUUAAUAACCGCAGCAAUUGACGUUACCCGCAGAAGAAGCACCGGCUAACUCCGUGCCAGCAGCCGCGGUAAUACGGAGGGUGCAAGCGUUAAUCGGAAUUACUGGGCGUAAAGCGCACGCAGGCGGUCUGUCAAGUCGGAUGUGAAAUCCCCGGGCUCAACCUGGGAACUGCAUUCGAAACUGGCAGGCUUGAGUCUUGUAGAGGGGGGUAGAAUUCCAGGUGUAGCGGUGAAAUGCGUAGAGAUCUGGAGGAAUACCGGUGGCGAAGGCGGCCCCCUGGACAAAGACUGACGCUCAGGUGCGAAAGCGUGGGGAGCAAACAGGAUUAGAUACCCUGGUAGUCCACGCCGUAAACGAUGUCUACUUGGAGGUUGUGCCCUUGAGGCGUGGCUUCCGGAGCUAACGCGUUAAGUAGACCGCCUGGGGAGUACGGCCGCAAGGUUAAAACUCAAAUGAAUUGACGGGGGCCCGCACAAGCGGUGGAGCAUGUGGUUUAAUUCGAUGCAACGCGAAGAACCUUACCUGGUCUUGACAUCCACAGAACUUUCCAGAGAUGGAUUGGUGCCUUCGGGAACUGUGAGACAGGUGCUGCAUGGCUGUCGUCAGCUCGUGUUGUGAAAUGUUGGGUUAAGUCCCGCAACGAGCGCAACCCUUAUCCUUUGUUGCCAGCGGUUAGGCCGGGAACUCAAAGGAGACUGCCAGUGAUAAACUGGAGGAAGGUGGGGAUGACGUCAAGUCAUCAUGGCCCUUACGACCAGGGCUACACACGUGCUACAAUGGCGCAUACAAAGAGAAGCGACCUCGCGAGAGCAAGCGGACCUCAUAAAGUGCGUCGUAGUCCGGAUUGGAGUCUGCAACUCGACUCCAUGAAGUCGGAAUCGCUAGUAAUCGUGGAUCAGAAUGCCACGGUGAAUACGUUCCCGGGCCUUGUACACACCGCCCGUCACACCAUGGGAGUGGGUUGCAAAAGAAGUAGGUAGCUUAACCUUCGGGAGGGCGCUUACCACUUUGUGAUUCAUGACUGGGGUGAAGUCGUAACAAGGUAACCGUAGGGGAACCUGCGGUUGGAUCACCUCCUU